rnacentral:rRNA from 1 species
CACGUAGGGGCCAAGCGUUGUCCGGAUUUAUUGGGCGUAAAGAGCUCGUAGGCGGUUCGACAAGUCGGGCGUGAAAACUCCGGGCUCAACCCGGAGACGCCACCCGAUACUGUCGUGACUGGAGUCCGGUAGGGGAGUGGGGAAUUCCUGGUGUAGCGGUGAAAUGCGCAGAUAUCAGGAGGAACACCGGUGGCGAAGGCGGUUCUCUGGGCCUUACCUGACGCUGGAGGAGCGAAAGCGUGGGGAGCAAACAGG